rnacentral:lncRNA from 1 species
CGUUUGCAGGCUUGUGUGCAGAAAUUGGCCUCGGUGCCGUGGUGUGGUUAAGCAAUUGGACAUAAGACUGCUGUUUGCAGUCCACGAGAAAAUGUGCCUCAUCUUCCACUGCCUCUUUGCAAAGCUUGCAGAGUCGGUCUUUUCUGAGAAUAUUGUGAUACCUGCCUCUUUCGAUUUCGAGGCGGUGUGCAUUCAACGAAUCAAUAUCUAGUGCCUCGUCUAUAGGACAGUCACCCCCCCCCCCCCCGCCCCGAGAUCCUUUAUCGGAGAAUUCAUCCCUCUUGCACCGCCACAAAGAGGACUGUCACUCGCAGGGAAUAUAGAAAUAUAAUAUCCAUUGCUAAUAGGAAGAAGUGAAAUAUAUGCAGCAACAGUUUUGUUACUUUCUAGACUAAGCGUUAAACAUCAAAUGCGUGUCCAACAGCUACCAACUAAAAUUGCUUGAUGCCAUUUAACAUUCCCCCUCUUUGACAAGAAAUUUGUCAUUAUCUAUAAACAAAUCGAUCCGAGCAAUCAGACUUGCUUUACUAGUAUUUAGUAUUUACUAAGUUGUUGGCACAUAUGCAGGGGUGGGUCUAGCCCCACCAUUCCAACUGCUCAAACAGAUUUUCCUCCCCAUCUCCCACAAAUACACCUUCUGAGUAAGCACGUCUCGACCCCCUCCCCCCCAUAAACGUCUAUCGCCAGUCGUCCCCCACUGCUAAAAUUCCUGCAUGCCCUUGAGAUGAAAAUAUUAAUUUAGUUAUUUUUAAACAUUUUAUCUUGUAAUUUUCAAUGUUUUAAUAUGAUAAUAUGAUACUCUUUUUUUGUUUUAAUUAUCCCACUGCACAUUUUCCUCUCCCUCCUUUAAUUUCAAUCUCAUUUGCAUCCAUCUGCAUAAGUCUGUAAAUCAUAAUAUACAAAGAAAAACCCCUGUAAAAGUACCCAAAAAUAUGGUUAAAACAUGGAGAAAAAAGUAAACAAAGAACACUGUGAUGAUAAUGUGUUUAUUAUAGGAAGAUCCGGUGACAUAGUACCAUAUUUGUUUGUAGAUACAUUAUGUAAGAAGCAUUGUAAAAACUGAUCUUGAUACAAUCCUACUAUACAAGAUGCUUGUCACAAGUGGAACCACACACAAAACCCUGCAUGGAACAUCAUCACUCUGGUAUCUGUACCAGUGACAUACAACAGACAAAUCUCUUCAAAAUGUGUGUUAUCGGGAUUGUAUUGACAUAUUUUUCAGAAGAAAAAAAGAAGAAAAAAAUAAUCAUAAAGAGAAGGAAAAGAAACCCUAUUGGCCGAAUUUACAAAGCCUGUUUUAGACUUACACACGUGUAACUACAUACAUUUACUAUGCUUAAACACCUGCGUUUUAGAAAAACAGGCUUCAUAAAUUCGGCAUUAAAGGUUUAGAAUACUAGACCAUCCUGGAUGAAAACGGAUUGACGUGGUCACCAAGAACACUCCUCCUCUUGAUGUGUUAGUGUAUGUGAAUAGACUCACCAGAUGUUGUAGCCAUCUUAUUUGUAUUAAAGAAAGAAAAAAAGAGUAAAUAAAAAAUAAAACAUUGACAAAACCUGUAGUGCAUUUAGGAGAGAAAGCACUAGAUGCUUGCAAAUGAUUCAUUACGACGAGAAAUGAAUCAAUCGUGAAUGCCUAUGAGGACUCGCCCUCCUGAAUGUUUUACUGUAACAGUAACGAGCUGCCAAGAUCUGCUGAUCUAUCAGUCUGUAUCAACAGAGAAAGCAAUGUACAGCAUUUGUUCACUGUUAAACCUAUGAAGCCAUUGUGUUUUGAAAAUUCAUUAUAAAAUUGUGGCAUAAUCCCAAGGUAUUUUGAAUCAUGAUGUAUUGUAGACCUGCAUUUGUUCAGUAUUGUCUUAAAAAUAUAGAAUAUAAGGUUACCAUGUUUUAAUAUUUAGUUUAUAUCGUGAGGUUUAAACAAUGGUGUAACAUGCAAGCUUCAGCAAGCUUCUUACAUGAAGUAUAAAAGUUAUUUACUUAUGCACUUCAACAUUUAUUGUUGGUAAUGGAUGUUUGAAAAACCAACCCACUCAUUGACAUGUGCAGAAUUAAUUUCCUAGUGACCUGAUAACAUAUGGCAACACCAAAGUUAUCAUGCUAGCAACAAAGGUGUUAUUAAGCAGUGACAUGAUAACACUUUGAAUUAUCAGGUUGGGGUUAUCGGGUUACAGGAAGUAUGGUUGAAUGAUAAUAAUAAUAUAACAUAAUACCUGGUACUUCGCUCUGUUUACCAAUCAUCACAAUCUCAUAAAAAUAAUCAAAUCUCAACAUUUGUCUUAUGAUUGCUUAAUUUUACAACAUGGUCAUGAAUAUGUCAAUACAACUGGAAGAAUACACAGUUUUAUAAUUACUCAGUCUGUAGUUGAAUGCACACAGGAAUAGAUUUCUCUGCAGUGCCCUCAGUGUGAACAUGGCUACACGAUCAAGACAUACUGAUAUGGCUGGGGUACAGCAUUCAAUUGUAUCACAAUACAUAUGCUUCUGCUUUCUUAUCUUUCACUUUUGUAUUUAAAGAAGAUUUGCCAUCAUUUGGCAAGUCAAGAAUUUGUUUUAGUUACAUGUCUAAUCUAUUGUAUUCUAGUGUAAUACUAGUGUGACACAAUAAAUGUAUAGAGAUGUCAGAAGAUAAUCCCCCUCCCCCAAUACAAAAUUAAAACAUUUAAAAAAGGAAAGAAAUGGGGGGAAAAAAAAUCACCAAGGAAUUGAACAUCUAAUAUAAACUUUUCACCCCCCCCCCCCAACAAGUCAAUUUCCAUAACA